rnacentral:rRNA from 1 species
CCUACGGGAGGCAGCAGUAAGGAAUAUUGGUCAAUGGACGCAAGUCUGAACCAGCCAUGCCGCGUGAAGGAUUAAGGCCCUCUGGGUUGUAAACUUCUUUUAUAGGGGACGAAAAAAGGGCAUUCUUGCUCACUUGACGGUACCCUAGGAAUAAGCACCGGCUAGCUCCGUGCCAGCAGCCGCGGUAAUACGGAGGGUGCAAGCGUUAUCCGGAUUUACUGGGUUUAAAGGGUGCGUAGGUGGGUUGGUAAGUCAGUGGUGAAAUCUUCGAGCUUAACUCGGAAACUGCCAUUGAUACUAUCAAUCUUGAAUCAUCUAGAGGUAAGCGGAAUAUGUCAUGUAGCGGUGAAAUGCUUAGAUAUGACAUAGAACACCAAUUGCGAAGGCAGCUUACUAUGGAUGCAUUGACACUGAGGCACGAAAGCGUGGGGAUCAAACAGGAUUAGAUACCCUGGUAGUCCACGCCCUAAACGAUGGAUACUCGACAUUUGUGAUAUACAAUAAGUGUCUGAGCGAAAGCAUUAAGUAUCCCACCUGGAAGUACGACCGCAAGGUUGAAACGUCAAAUGAAAUUGACGG